GACGAACGCUGGCGGCGUGCUUAACACAUGCAAGUCGAACGGAAAGGCCCUGCUCUUGCGGGGUGCUCGAGUGGCGAACGGGUGAGUAACACGCGAGUAACCCGUCCCUGACUUUGGGAUAACUUCAGGAAACUGGGGCUAAUACCGGAUAGGAGCUCUUGCUGCACGGUGGGGGUUGGAAAGUUUCGGCGGUUGGGGAUGGACUCGCGGCUUAUCAGCUUGUUGGUGGAGUAGUGGCGUACCAAGGUUUCGACGGCUAGCCGGCCUGGGAGGGUGACCGGCGACAUUAGGACUGCGAUACGGACCAGACGCCUACGGGAGGCAACGGUCGAGAGUAUUGCGCAAUAGGCGGGAGCGUGAUGCGACAACGCCGCGUGCGGAAUGACGGCCUUCGAGUGGUAAACCGCUUUCUCCUGUAACGAGGCGGGAGUGACGGUAAUGGAUAAAGAAGCACCGGCUAACUACGUG
rnacentral:rRNA from 1 species